CCUACGGGUGGCUGCAGUUUAGGAAUUUUUGGGCAAUGGCCGCAAGGCUGACCCAGCAACGCCGCGUGGGGGACGAAGGCUCUCGGGUCGAAACCCUUUUCCCAGGGACGAUGAUGACGGUACCUGGGGAAUAAGCCCCGGCUAACUACGUGCCAGCAGCCGCGGUAAUACUAGGGGGCAAGCGUUGUCCGGAUUCAUUGGGCGUAAAGCGCGGGCAGGCGGCCUGCUCAGUCGGCCGUGAAAGCGCCGGGCUCAACUCGGCGAGGUCGGGCGAUACUGGCAGGCUGGAGGCUGGUAGAGGGCGGUGGAAUUCCGGGUGUAGUGGUGGAAUGCGUAGAGCUCCGGAGGAACACCAGUGGCGAAGGCGGCCGCCUGGGCCAGUCCUGACGCUGAGCCGCGAAAGCGUGGGGAGCGAUCCGGAUUAGAUACCCGGGUAGUCCACGCCGUAAACGAUGGGCACUAGGUGUCGGGGGUAUCGACCCCCCCGGUGCCGGAGCUAACGCAAUAAGUGCCCGCCUGGGGAGUACGGCCGCAAGGCUA
rnacentral:rRNA from 1 species